rnacentral:lncRNA from 10 species
UGACUCUUCGUAUGUUGAAUAAGGGAUGCAUGCCAAGUGAAAACUUUACCACAUUCAUCACAUUCAUAGAGCUUUUCUCCAGCAUGAAUUCUCUGAUGUUUAAUAAGGAAUGAGUGACAACGGAAAGCUUUCCUACAUUCAUUACAUUCAUACGGGGUUUUGGUUGUAUGGAUGCUCUGAUGUCGAGUAAGGUGUGAGAAACGGCGAAAUGCCUUCCCACAUUCAAUGCAUUCAUAAGGUUUCUCUCCAGUAUGUGUAAUCUGGUGGCGAAUGAGUUCUGAGCCACUGCUAAAUGCUUUACCACAUUUCCUACAUAUAUAUUGUUUCUUUCCUAUGUGAAUUCUUUGAUGUCGAGUGAGGUUGGAGGCACGGCUAAAGGCCUUUCCACACUCAGUACAUUCAUAAGGUUUCUCCCCAGUGUGCGUUCUCUGGUGUUCAAUAAGAAAUGAAAGGUAACUGAAUGUUUUAUUACAGUCCUUACACUCAUGGGGUUUCUUUCCAGUAUGUAUCAUUUGGUGUUUCACAAGGUUUGAAAUCUGGCUAAAGGUUUUGCCACAUUCCUUACAUGCAUAUGGUUUCUCUCCAGUAUGAGUCCUCUGGUGUAACACCAGGGAAAAGCGUCGACCAAAAGUUUUUCCACAUUCAUGGCAUCCAUAGGGCCUCUCCACAGUACUGAUAUUCAUAUGUUGAGCCAGGGCUUCUUGAUGAGAGACUGUUACUUUCCUAAUACAUCCCUGAUUUUCUUGCAGCAUCUCAGUAUGAUCCUUGCAUUUCCAGCCUCCUUUAAAACUGGAAUACACAGGGCCUUGACUUAGAAUUCUUUCCAUGAUCAAAUACUGGGAUGAGUCAUCAUAAAUGACAUUUUUUGGUGAAAAGUCUUUGAUCUCACCACUUGACUCUGAAACUGAAAGAUACCAAAAAAAAAGUGAAUGUUUCUUUUUCCUGUAUUGAAUAAAAUAAGGCCAUUUCUCCCUUCUUUAGCAACAGAAUGAAGUUUCAAAAAAUCUUAUCAAUAGCAGCUUUCACAGCUGUGACUGAAAUCUGAGUAGUAUGCCCAGAACUUCAGAAAAGAUCAAACAGAGAUAGACAUAUAGGUAAAUAAAGAGAAAGUGUAAACGUAAGUAAUUGAAAGAGCAGGGAAAAUAGAGCUAUCAGGAAAUAUUUGUGAAGGAUAGGUUGCUAGUCUUCUUCACCACCAUUUAAACGGUAUUUACUGCCAGAAUUAUCUAAAAAUGGCAAUUUCAUAAUGCUGCUACUAAACACUAAGUGUUCGUCAGAUUGCACAAAGACAUUAGAUUCUGUUCACUUAGUGCCUCUGGAACAUCUUAUAAUAAUCUAAAUGAAAAAAAAAGCGGUUUCUCUGAAAACUUGCCUAUGAUCCUCCAACUCUACCUUCUGAACUAGUAUGAAGCUCAUAUUUGGUAUAAUUAUGUCUUUUCUGGGACCUAUUUGAGGGUGGAAUGUGGGAGGA